GCUAGGAUAGCUCAAUCGGUUGGGCAUGAGACUCUUAAUCUCAGGGUCAUGGGUUUGAGUCCUACGUUAGGCA